GUACUUUCAUAAGCAAAUGAAAAUGUCUGUUCCUUCCAACAACCAAACCAAGUGGCAGCACAGGAACUCCGAGAAGGAAGCCAGGGCUCCGAGAGGUCUUUACAUUUUUUUCCCCUGAAGAAACAAGAUCAAUGAAAAGUUCCAGCACCUCUCGUACGGGGUGUUUUCAAACCAGCUGCAUCCUUCCAAGAGGCUUUGCUACUCCUCUGCUGACCAACGGCGACCAUGGUGGCUGCGACCUUAGUGUGACUCAUGCAUUUGAGUGGAGCCUCAGGCCAGUGUCAGCAGCCAGUCCCACCCUCGCUGUUCUUGUCAGGUGAAGGUCUUGGCAGAGUUCAACCUUGGCUGAGCUCAUGCAUGAUUGAUCGUGGGUGAUGCAGCAUCGUUGUUUCCCAAUCAUCACUCACUGACAGAUAUUCUAAAUUAAAUGCCUUCAGUUCAGAAUUGCUAUUGCCAUUGGAAAUUCCAAAUGAUUCAUGAAGAUCAUACUUUUCUGAAUUCCAGGAAUGCCAUUAUUUUUCAGUUAUAUCUUGUGGUUGGGAUUAGUAAAGAGUGAACACAGAAAUACCUAAAAGCUUGUGGGUGACUCUGAUAAUUUUAAUACAUAAGUAGAAAGAAAGAGAGAAGUACAAAUAAAAACUUUCAGUGUUCAUAUUUA